rnacentral:rRNA from 1 species
CCUACGGGAGGCAGCAGUGGGGAAUUUUGGACAAUGGGGGAAACCCUGAUCCAGCAAUGCCGCGUGUGUGAAGAAGGCCUUCGGGUUGUAAAGCACUUUUAUUCGGAGAGAAAUCCCUUGGGCUAAUACCCUGAGGGUCUGACGGUACCGGAUGAAUAAGCGCCGGCUAACUACGUGCCAGCAGCCGCGGUAAUACGUAGGGCGCGAGCGUUAAUCGGAAUUACUGGGCGUAAAGCGUGCGCAGGCGGUUUUGUAAGACAGAUGUGAAAGCCCCGGGCUCAACCUGGGAAUUGCAUUUGUGACUGCAAGGCUAGAGUGUGUCAGAGGGAGGUGGAAUUCCGCGUGUAGCAGUGAAAUGCGUAGAGAUGCGGAGGAACACCGAUGGCGAAGGCAGCCUCCUGGGAUAACACUGACGCUCAUGCACGAAAGCGUGGGGAGCAAACAGGAUUAGAUACCCUGGUAGUCCACGCCCUAAACGAUGUCAACUAGUUGUCGGGAAUUAAAUUUCUUGGUAACGCAGCUACGCGUGAGUGACCGCCGUGGGAGGUACGGCCGCGAAGGUUAAACGUUACGAAGUAAGUUAGAGGCGNGNGAGNGCGACGGCGACGACGAGGGAGGAGG